UACAUGCAAGUCGAGCGGACAGAUGGGAGCUUGCUCCCUGAUGUUAGCGGCGGACGGGUGAGUAACACGUGGGUAACCUGCCUGUAAGACUGGGAUAACUCCGGGAAACCGGGGCUAAUACCGGAUGGUUGUUUGAACCGCAUGGUUCAGACAUAAAAGGUGGCUUCGGCUACCACUUACAGAUGGACCCGCGGCGCAUUAGCUAGUUGGUGAGGUAACGGCUCACCAAGGCGACGAUGCGUAGCCGACCUGAGAGGGUGAUCGGCCACACUGGGACUGAGACACGGCCCAGACUCCUACGGGAGGCAGCAGUAGGGAAUCUUCCGCAAUGGACGAAAGUCUGACGGAGCAACGCCGCGUGAGUGAUGAAGGUUUUCGGAUCGUAAAGCUCUGUUGUUAGGGAAGAACAAGUGCCGUUCAAAUAGGGCGGCACCUUGACGGUACCUAACCAGAAAGCCACGGCUAACUACGUGCCAGCAGCCGCGGUAAUACGUAGGUGGCAAGCGUUGUCCGGAAUUAUUGGGCGUAAAGGGCUCGCAGGCGGUUUCUUAAGUCUGAUGUGAAAGCCCCCGGCUCAACCGGGGAGGGUCAUUGGAAACUGGGGAACUUGAGUGCAGAAGAGGAGAGUGGAAUUCCACGUGUAGCGGUGAAAUGCGUAGAGAUGUGGAGGAACACCAGUGGCGAAGGCGACUCUCUGGUCUGUAACUGACGCUGAGGAGCGAAAGCGUGGGGAGCGAACAGGAUUAGAUACCCUGGUAGUCCACGCCGUAAACGAUGAGUGCUAAGUGUUAGGGGGUUUCCGCCCCUUAGUGCUGCAGCUAACGCAUUAAAGCACUCCGCCUGGGGAGUA
rnacentral:rRNA from 2 species